GUGAAAGACAUCAAUCACCACCUGCCUCAGGAUGCACACCUUCAACUGCCCUGGCCAGGCAACCAUUGGAAUUGACUUCCCGUCCAAGAUCAUGGCCUCAGAGUACUGAACAUUCUUUCAAAGACAUGGAUAAGUGGGUAGAAGAUGUUCAGGAAGAAAGAGAUGAUGCAGUCAUCAUGUUGGUGGGUAACAAGAUUGAUCCAAACAAAAGCUAUUCCUGUGCGUGGCUUCUGACCUUCCAGAAGUAGUUCAUCUCCACUGAAGGAAGAAGACUCUGGGCAGAGAGUUCUUGCGGGGCCGGGAAUCCCACCUCACCUCCACUCACCACUAAGAUACCUAUAGGGGAUGCAGUUCUACAGCAGCUGGGAUACCUCAAAGCCAGAAUCAGUCUAUUCUCCACUGUUUUCUUCUUUACACCUUCAAUAAA